rnacentral:rRNA from 1 species
UACGUAGGGUGCGAGCGUUAAUCGGAAUUACUGGGCGUAAAGCGUGCGCAGGCGGUGAUGUAAGACAGUUGUGAAACCCCCGGGCUCAACCUGGGAACUGCAUCUGUGACUGCAUUGCUGGAGUGCGGCAGAGGGGGAUGGAAUUCCGCGUGUAGCAGUGAAAUGCGUAGAUAUGCGGAGGAACACCGAUGGCGAAGGCAAUCCCCUGGGCCUGCACUGACGCUCAUGCACGAAAGCGUGGGGAGCAAACAGG